UAUGCAAAAAUAAAAUUUAAGAGCAUUGUGCUUGCAGAGACGAAGCGCGCAUGCUCGCGAUACAGCUAGCGGACGCAAACCGAUCGAAUUGGAACUCGCUUUUAUACACACGAGAUAUCUGUCGCGCUUGGCAGUUAUCGCGAUUACAAAGACGACUUUUUCGGCAAUCGAAGGACAGAACGGCUAUUUUGAGAAAAAUUUUCAGCAGCACAUUAAUAUCUCCUCACUUCUCCUCCUGGAAAUAGACUCGACCGACUCGACGCGCGGAAUUCAGCGUUCCAUCACGUUCCCGUUAAAAAAACAGCAAUAGGACGGUAAUUGGCGAAUCGGACAGGAAAUGAAGAUCAACCAAAGCUAUGGACGCUCGUUGACACUGGAGGGAAAAACCGAUCUGCCACGUGUGUAUCCGACGUAUCCGGUUGACUGGAUCAGUUUUCGUCAGCUUCGCGAGUCCAUUGACUUCCGGCGCAAAGUACGUCGAGCCCAGACUCGAAAUCGCGUUCAUCACGUCCUAACGUUUGUUUUCUCUUAGUUAGCCCAACACUGAUCCACACCAUGCACGCAUUUUACGUGGAAGAGAUGCAUCGAAAUGGCAGCGAACCGUGAUUCAGACACUUAAGGAAGAUUCUAGGAACAAAGCUGUCUUUUGUUGCAAUGACUGAUUAGAGCUGCAGAAUCUCAAUCCAGACAAUGUAUCGGUCGCGAACUCGAGCUAUCACAUCGGCGAGGUGGACUCGCGAUUUUCGAGAAAAAUUUUUCUUCCGACAAGUCCGAUCUAUCGGUAAACGACGAUUUCUGGAAUCUGGUGCGAGAUGAGCUCGGUGUGGAUGUGCUGGUGCUACUGGUGAGUCGAGGAGCUUUUGGAACGCACCGCGACCUCCUCCGCUAUAAAUAAAACGGCGGCCGCCACACCGAAAACUCUGCCAACGAAACGGGUAACGUCGAUUCAUCGUAAUUUUCCUCGCGAGACUCAGAAACCGGGAAAUUUUCCGGGUGACGGGAGUUAGCCGCAAUAGAUUGCGCCGCCGACGUCUUCAGGUUCGACGAGUCGAUUUGCGUGCCAAGUGACACUGGUCACCUUAGAUGUCGUGUUUGUUGAGACCUGAAUUUUCUCGCUAUCUGUACCUGGUUCGCGUUAAACGAAUAGAAAUUCUUUCGCGUGCUAUUUAACUUGUUCCUUCAAAUAUUCCUACAUCAUAUUAAAAAAAUUUUGAAAAUUUCUUCUAAACUAUGCUAAAGAUUUGCAACGAAUGUAGUUUUAGAAGUGACAGUUUAUUUCAGCGUUUCGUAAUUAUUUUUGCUCAACUCUUACAAGUUGUAUUUCUCAGAAUUGUUUUGAAUGCUCUAUUGGCAGUAAGCUCGGUACGAAUAACAUUGAUGGAUUUAUAAAAUUUCGUUGAGGUUGCUAAUGCAUAUUUUUUUUAUUUUAAGGAAUCGGGAGAUAUCUAUGAACGGUUAAGUUCUUACAGUUUCUUAGAUGAAACUCUGUUAAUCGAUAUUUCAAAUAACAUAUUCUAAUUCAAAUAUAUAUUGUCGUGACGUACAGUCGUGACACAGUAAUAACAACAAUUAUCUUGAAAGACUUUGCUCAGAAUGUUUCUAACAUUUUACUAUUCAAAUUAAAUUGAUAAAUAUGUAACUGACUUCAUCGAAAUGUUUAACUUGAAUUCUAAAUUAAAAAUACCUCGGACUAAGGCUACAAAAAUGUAGCGCCCGUCCUGACAGGUUGAACAUAUUGCCGAGAACGAAAUUUAUCGAUUAUUUUACAGUGACGCAAUUCACAGGAGGCGAAGAUCGAGUGGCGGGUCAAAUAACCCGGGUACGAUCUUGUACGAAAACUAUGCGCCGGCUCAUAUAACGUAGUGCGAUAGUCACGUGUCAAAAAAACACGUGAGGUGUCCGCAAUGUCAGGUUGAGCUGUGCACUAUUACUUUGUAUAUCAUCUGAUCUUUGGAUAAUUAUCUCUGGAUAACUAUCCUUGGGAAGGUCACUUUGCAAAAUCUUCAGUUGAAACGUUAUCCUGGUGGGAUAACCGGAAUCUUUGAUGUAACUGUAGGUACUUGUAGCGACUAUAGAUUAUGACUCAACCGUCCCUCGAUUAGUAACGAAAAUGUACCACCUUCUGUUUUACCGACGAACGGUGAUACCUGAAAACAAUACUCUAAAAACAUGAAACUUCACCAGAUGUCUGUAAUUCAGUCUUGUCUGUAUCAGUUUCAAAUAAUUUACUUCGCUAACGAAAUAUAAUCCUCUCUCUCUCUC